CAACGGUCGAGUAACCUCGAGGUAGGCCUGAAGGCAUUCGACUAGACAGAUAGCCGGGUUUCCCUGGAAUCUAGGGUAAACAAACACCUUCGAAGCCGACUUCGUUCUCCUGGAUAUGUUAAAGGAGAUGCCCUCCGGAGUGAACGCAAUGGCAUUCCAGUCCAGUGCCCGAACAUCCGACACCCUCUUGCAAGAGAUAAGGCAUAGCAACAUGACCACCUUCGCUGACAGCUGUUUCAGGGUGAGAUCCUGAUUUGGAUACCAAGCCGACAAGAAUUGAAGGACCACAUUCACGUCCCAGAAGGCAGUGAAUCUCGCACGGGGCGGUCUGGUGAGACGGAUCCCCUUGAGCAGUCGGCAUACAAAGGGGUGACGUCCUACGGGCGAACCAUCCAAGCCUUGGUGUCCGGCUGAUAUAGCGGAUCGGCAUAGAUUAAUAGUGCGGUACGCCUUCCCAGAUUCAAACAUCACAGUAAGGAAUUCCAUGAUCACAUGUAAAGGGGCAGAUAUGGGAUCCACUGACCGUUCCACGCACCAACUAGACCAUAUUCUCCAGGCGGAUCGGUACGCCACUCGAGUACCUGGUGCCCAUGCGUUGUCAAGGAGGUCGAGAGUUGAUUGCGGAACCCCUGUGAUAGACCAGGGUCCCCUGAAAGAGGCCAUGCGAUCAGGUGUAGGAGGCCGCGCUCCACCAACUCGUGCGAGUUGCCAUCCGGAUCCCUCAGGAGAUUCGGGAAGGUCGGUAUCAGGCGUGGGUAAUCCGCUGUCAGUUCCAGCAGCCGAGGGAACCAAGCCCGAGACCGCCAUAGUGGUGUGAUCAGUACC